GCCGACGUGGUGGAAUUGGUAGACACGCCGUCUUGAGGGGGCGGUGGCGAAAGCUAUGCGAGUUCGAUUCUCGCCGUCGGCA
rnacentral:tRNA from 1 species